rnacentral:rRNA from 1 species
GGAUGAACGCUAGCUACAGGCUUAACACAUGCAAGUCGAGGGGUAGCAGGGUAGCAAUACCGCUGACGACCGGCGCACGGGUGAGUAACACGUAUCCAACCUUCCCAUAACUCAGGGAUAGCCUUUCGAAAGAAAGAUUAAUACCUGACAGUACUUUUUCAAGGCAUCUUGAGAAGUUAAAGAUUUAUUGGUUAUGGAUGGGGAUGCGUUCCAUUAGAUAGUUGGUGAGGUAACGGCUCACCAAGUCUUCGAUGGAUAGGGGUUCUGAGAGGAAGGUCCCCCACAUUGGUACUGAGACACGGACCAAACUCCUACGGGAGGCAGCAGUGAGGAAUAUUGGUCAAUGGGCGAGAGCCUGAACCAGCCAAGUAGCGUGAAGGAUUGAAGGUCCUAUGGAUUGUAAACUUCUUUUAUAGUAGAAUAAAGUGAUCCACGUGUGGAUUUUUGUAUGUAUACUAUGAAUAAGGAUCGGCUAACUCCGUGCCAGCCGCAGC